UUGUUUAUAUUUUUAUUCUUUAUAUUAUCUGUGUGUGUGUGUGUGUGUGUGUGUGAUCAGAUCAAUAAAUCCAGAUUGUCUCUGCAGUGUAAACGGCUGGAACAGGAGCUGAUCCAGGAGAGAGAGCAGAGGGCGAGCGAGGAGGAGCUGCUGAGGCUUCAGAGAGAGAGAGGUGGAGCUCUUGAGGACAGGCGGCGCCUGGAGGCGGAGCUACAGGUGCUGCAAGCCAAUCCCAGCUCUCAGGACCUCCUCACCGCUCCUCCCUCGUCGCCCGGUGACAGCGUCUCUCCGGCGGGUUCGUCGCUGGCGGCUCAUCAGGCCCCGCCCCUGCAGCUCCAGGUCCAGCAGCUGUCGAAGGAGAAGCAGAGCGUGGAGGUGGAGCUUCAGCGCUGUCGGGAGGCGGAGCAAGAGGCCAGCGAGAGAGUCCGCAGGUUGGAGCGUCUGGUCGAGGUUCUGAGGAAGAAAGUCGGGACAGGAAGCCUCCGAGCCGUCAUCUGA
rnacentral:lncRNA from 15 species